GAUAGAACGCUAGCUACAGGCUUAACACAUGCAAGUCGAGGGGCAGCAUUAUCGAAGCUUGCUUUGAUAGAUGGCGACCGGCGCACGGGUGCGUAACACGUAUCCAAUCUACCCAUGGCUCAGGGAUAGCCUUUCGAAAGAAAGAUUAAUACCUGAUGGUCUGUGAUUGAGACAUCUCGAACACAGUAAAGAUUUAUCGGCAAUGGAUGAGGAUGCGUCUGAUUAGGUUGUCGGCGGGGUAACGGCCCACCGAGCCUGCGAUCAGUAGGGGUUCUGAGAGGAAGGUCCCCCACAUUGGAACUGAGACACGGUCCAAACUCC
rnacentral:rRNA from 1 species